rnacentral:rRNA from 1 species
CCUACGGGUGGCAGCAGUAGGGAAUCUUCCACAAUGGGCGAAAGCCUGAUGGAGCAACGCCGCGUGGGUGAAGAAGGUCUUCGGAUCGUAAACUCCUGUUGUGAGAGAAGAAAGUGCGUGAGGGUAACUGAUCACGUUUCGACGUUCUCUUACCCGUAGGCCACGACUAACUACGGGCCAGCAGCCGCGGUAAUACGGAGGUGGUAAGCGUUAUCCGGAUUGAUUGGGCGUAAGGGUGACGAAGGCGGGAUUUUAAGUCUGAUGUGAAAGCCUUCGGCUUAACGGGAGUAGUGCAUUUGAAACUGGGCGACUUGAGUGCGGAAGAGGAGAGUGGAAUUCCAUGUGUAGCGGUGAAAUGCGUAGAUAUAUGGAAGAACACCGGUGGCGAAGGCGGCUUUCUGGUCUGUAACUGACGCUGAGGUUCGAAAGCGUGGGUAGCAAACAGGAUUAGAUACCCUUGUAGUC